UACGGAGGGUGCGAGCGUUGUCCGGAAUCAUUGGGCGUAAAGGGCGCGUAGGUGGCCCGGUCAGUCUUUGGUGAAAGCGCGGGGCUCAACCCUGCGUCGGCCAGGGAUACUGCCGCGGCUGGAGCACUGUAGAGGCAGGCGGGAUUCCGGGUGUAGCGGUGGAAUGCGUAGAGAUCCGGAAGAACACCGGUGGCGAAGGCGGCCUGCUGGGCAGUUGCUGACACUGAGGCGCGACAGCGUGGGGAGCAAACAGG
rnacentral:rRNA from 1 species